rnacentral:rRNA from 1 species
CAGUCCGCGGUAAUACGUAGGUGGCAAGCGUUGUCCGGAAUUAUUGGGCGUAAAGGGCUCGCAGGCGGUUUCUUAAGUCUGAUGUGAAAGCCCCCGGCUCAACCGGGGAGGGUCAUUGGAAACUGGGAAACUUGAGUGCAGAAGAGGAGAGUGGAAUUCCACGUGUAGCGGUGAAAUGCGUAGAGAUGUGGAGGAACACCAGUGGCGAAGGCGACUCUCUGGUCUGUAACUGACGCUGAGGAGCGAAAGCGUGGGGAGCGAACAGGAUUAGAUACCCCGGUAGUCCCUGUCUCUUAUACAC